rnacentral:rRNA from 1 species
UGAGGAAUAUUGGUCAAUGGGUGCAAGCCUGAACCAGCCAUCCCGCGUGAAGGACGACUGCCCUAUGGGUUGUAAACUUCUUUUGUAUAGGGAUAAACCUACCCUCGUGAGGGUAGCUGAAGGUACUAUACGAAUAAGCACCGGCUAACUCCGUGCCAGCAGCCGCGGUAAUACGGAGGGUGCAAGCGUUAUCCGGAUUUAUUGGGUUUAAAGGGUCCGUAGGCGGACUUAUAAGUCAGUGGUGAAAGCCUGUCGCUUAACGAUAGAACUGCCAUUGAUACUGUAAGUCUUGAGUAUAUUUGAGGUAGCUGGAAUAAGUAGUGUAGCGGUGAAAUGCAUAGAUAUUACUUAGAACACCAAUUGCGAAGGCAGGUUACCAAGAUAUAACUGACGCUGAGGGACGAAGGCGUGGGGAGCGAACAGGAUUAGAUACCCUGGUAGUCCACGCCGUAAACGAUGCUAACUCGUUUUUGGGCUUUAGGGUUCAGAGACCAAGCGAAAGUGAUAAGUUAGCCACCUGGGGAGUACGCUCGCAAGAGUGAAACUUAAAGGAAUUGACGGGGUCAUAGCUGUUUCCU